UUCCCGGCGUGCAAUGCGGGAGGCUGCGACGGUACCGGGGUGGUGGGGGGACGACCCAGAGGCGGGAGGCGCAGUGGCUGAGGCGCGUCUGCGCCGGUGACCUGAAUGAGGUAGACCAUGACUGUGCCUUUGGUGGCGUUACCAGCUGGGCCGCUUUUCCUGGGAUUUCUCUAAGCCAUCUGCUGGUGGAACCGCUCCCAGAUUUUGUCCACAAGUGCUUGUGGAAAAGAUGGCUGAUAUUAACCUCAAAGAAAUAACCUUAAUAGUAGGUGUGGUUACUGCCUGCUAUUGGAACAGCCUCUUUUGUGGUUUUGUUUUUGAUGAUGUUUCAGCAAUACUGGAUAAUAAAGACCUGCAUCCAUCUACACCUUUAAAAACUUUAUUUCAGAAUGACUUCUGGGGAACUCCUAUGUCUGAGGAAAGAAGCCACAAGUCUUACCGUCCCUUAACAGUGUUGACAUUUCGCUUAAAUUAUCUGUUUAGUGAACUGAAACCAAUGUCAUAUCAUCUCCUAAAUAUGAUUUUUCAUGCUGUGGUUAGUGUGAUAUUUCUUAAAGUCUGCAAACUUUUUCUGGACAACAGGAGUAGUAUGAUUGCUUCUUUACUUUUUGCAGUGCACCCAAUACACACAGAAGCAGUAACAGGUGUUGUAGGAAGAGCAGAACUUUUGUCCUCUAUCUUUUUUCUAGCUGCAUUUUUGUCAUAUACCAGAUCAAAAGGACCCGAUAAUUCCAUAGUAUGGACUCCAAUUGCCUUGACAGUGGUUUUAGUUGCUGUUGCAACAUUGUGUAAAGAGCAAGGAAUAACAGUUGUGGGAAUUUGCUGUGUGUAUGAAGUAUUUAUUGCACAAGGGUAUACUUUGCCAUUAUUAUGGACUACUGCUGGACAGUUUUUCCGUGGAAAAAGUAGUAUUCCAUUUUCUAUGUUGCAGACACUAAUAAAACUCAUUGUUUUGAUGUUCAGUACACUAUUACUUGUUGUAAUUAGAGUCCAGGUUAUUCAGUCCCAACUUCCAGUAUUCACCAGGUUUGAUAACCCAGCUGCCGUAAGCCCAACUCCUACAAGGCAGCUAACUUUUAACUAUCUCCUUCCUUUGAAUGCUUGGCUUCUAUUAAAUCCUUCAGAACUCUGCUGUGAUUGGACCAUGGGAACAAUACCACUUAUAGAGUCAUUUCUAGAUAUUCGAAAUCUUGCCACAUUUACUUUCUUUUGCUUUUUGGGGGCUUUGGGAAUAUUCAGUCUUAGAUACCCUGGUGAUUCCUCCAAGACUGUUUUAAUGGCCCUUUGUUUGAUGGCGUUACCAUUUAUUCCUGCAUCAAACCUUUUUUUCCCAGUUGGAUUUGUUGUUGCUGAGAGAGUAUUGUAUGUUCCUAGCAUGGGGUUCUGUAUUUUGGUAGCCCAUGGAUGGCAGAAAAUAUCAAAUAAAAGUGUAUUAAAAAAGUUAUCCUGGAUUUGUCUGUCUAUGGUGAUAUUCACUCAUGCCUUAAAAACACUCCACAGAAAUUGGGAUUGGGAGUCUGAAUAUACAUUGUUUAUGUCAGCCUUGAAGGUGAAUAAAAAUAAUGCCAAAUUAUGGAAUAAUGUGGGUCAUGCUCUGGAAAACGAAAAGAACUUUGAACGAGCUUUGAAAUAUUUCUUACAGGCUACCCAUGUUCAGCCAGAUGAUAUUGGUGCCCACAUGAAUGUAGGAAGAACUUACAAAAAUUUAAAUAGAACCAAAGAAGCUGAAGAAUCUUACAUGAUGGCUAAGUCACUAAUGCCCCAAAUUAUUCCUGGUAAAAAAUACGCAGCCAGAAUUGCCCCUAACCACCUAAAUGUUUAUAUUAAUCUGGCCAAUCUUAUCCGAGCAAAUGAGUCCCGGUUGGAAGAAGCAGAUCAGCUAUACCGACAAGCAAUAAGCAUGAGACCCGACUUCAAGCAGGCUUACAUUAGCAGAGGAGAAUUGCUUUUAAAAAUGAAUAAACCUCUCAAAGCAAAAGAAGCAUAUCUUAAAGCACUAGAGCUGGACAGAAAUAAUGCAGAUCUUUGGUACAACUUGGCAAUUGUUCAUAUUGAACUGAAAGAACCAAACGAGGCCCUAAAAAAUUUUAAUCGUGCUUUAGAACUAAAUCCGAAGCAUAAACUAGCAUUAUUCAAUUCUGCUAUAUUAAUGCAAGAAUCAGGUGAGGUUAAACUCAGACCAGAAGCUAGAAAACGACUUCUAAGCUAUAUAAAUGAAGAGCCACAAGAUGCUAAUGGUUAUUUCAAUCUGGGAAUGCUUGCCAUGGAUGACAAAAAGGACAGUGAAGCCGAAAUGUGGAUGAAGAAAGCCAUAAAAUUACAAGCCGAUUUCAGAAGUGCUUUGUUUAAUCUGGCUCUCCUGUAUUCUCAGACAGCAAAGGAAUUAAUGGCUUUGCCAAUUCUGGAAGAGUUACUCAGACACUAUCCUGAUCAUAUCAAGGGUCUUAUUUUAAAGGGAGACAUUCUAAUGAAUCAAAAGAAAGAUAUACUUGGAGCAAAAAAAUGUUUUGAAAAGAUUUUGGAAAUGGAUCCAAGCAAUGUGCAAGGAAAACACAAUCUUUGUGUUGUUUAUUUUGAAGAGAAGGACUUACUAAAAGCUGAAAGAUGCCUGGUUGAAACAUUGGCAUUAGCACCACAUGAAGAAUAUAUUCAGCGCCAUUUGAAUAUAGUCAGGGAUAAAAUUUCCUCAUCUAGUUUUGCUGAACAGCCAAUAUCCUCAGCUGGUAAGACUUCAGGUGUAGAAGGAGACAAAAUUCCAACUGAAAAUGUACAAGAAGAUGUAAAAAGUGAACCUAGACCUACACAGAUCAUAAAACCGAGUGAUAAUAAAAGUCAAUCUAAAUCCAACAAACUAUUAGGAAAAAAUACAGACAAAGAGACCCCCCACAAAACAACAAAGGAAAUCAAAGAAAUUGAGAAGAAAAGAGUUGCUGCUUUAAAAAGACUAGAAGAGAUUGAACGUAUUUUAAAUGGUGAAUAGUAUUAUUUAUUGUGUCACAAUGUCCUCAAAGAACUUCAGUCUAUCUUAUGUGAUUGCUUAUUCUGGGAGCAUUGAAAAAUAGCAAGUAUACACGUAACAGUCUGUCAUGAGCUGCCUCUACAUAUGAUCAAAAUGCGAUUUUCAUUAAACACCUAUCUUACCCCAGGUAUCAAGUGAAGAUAAGUCAGAAAAGCAGAAGGGAAUCUUUUGUGGCAGAAGAUGGUAAUAAGAGCUUUGAGUAAUAUUUUAAUAAAAUUAUGUAACUAUUCAAAAGUUUAAAAAUAUAUUGUUACCCAAUGAUUUUUAUAGGAAAAAGAAUUCCUCUUUAUUUGCGCUUAGAACAAUGACUAUCAUGUAGGAAGUACUCAUAUUUGAAUUUUAAAUAAUUUAUUUAAAUCAAAUCCACCCUGAUUAGUAAUUUUUCCAAAUUAAUGUUCCCCAACCCUCACUUCAUAUUAGAAUCAUCUGGAGGACUCUUUAAUAUGGACCCCACCAACAACAAUUUAAUCUGAAUUUCUUAGGAAGGGAGCUAUGCCUCCAUUUUCUUGAAGUUCUCAGAGUGAUCCUAAUUUGUAGUCAGGGUUAAUAAUCACUGCUCUAAAUUAGUUCAAGGAAAUCCUCUUAUAUCUCCUGCACUAACUUUUUAAAUUAGUGUCAUAACCCAGUUAAGUUUUGAUAUUCUAGUGAAUAUGCUCUUCUGAUAACUAGUAUUUAUUUCAUCUUAAGUAUCAUCAACCUUGUUUAUGUGAGAUUGAUUAUUUUCUUUAAACUCAUAGUAGAAUUUUACUCAAGCUUUUCAAGUGAAAAAAGGUAAUAGAUUUUCCCCCAUCUUUGGAACUGCCUUUUUGGGGAAAUGGAUGGUAGGGAUAUUUUAACCUAGCUUGCUACCUACAGUUCAGAGUUGUGAGCAGAAAGAAAGCAUAUCACAGGUUUGUGUGCUGGUAAAGGGAUGUAGUUUUAGGUCUCACUGUUUACAAAAGAAUCUAUUCCCUAGGAGUUCUGGGAAAGCUUUGACAAUCCCCAAGGGGCAAUUAUGUUACUUUUUCACUACUUCUCAGAAGGAAGAAUUAAGUUUUUCUCCUGUUGCUCCUAUAUGUAUUUCCUUAUUAACAUUCAUACUUGGGAAUUUUAUCUUGUAAUUAUCCCAGUAAGUAAUUUCAUGAAGCUAAUGACUCAGAGGAUAAAACAAUUAUGUUUGCAAUUUUGUGUUUACUUUUAUGUAAAUAUUUAGUAUGUGAAUUACACAAUUCUAAUAAAACCUCAUGCCUUUUCAUUACAUCUAUUUUGAGCUCUCAACUUCAUGUUACCGAAUACUAAUUUGAAGAUCUUUAAUGAAAACUUUUAGGAAAAUAUAUAGAUUUGUAUGUCAGUUUCUACUUCAGAAAUCCAUAUAUUUGUCAUAUUUAUUUUUUUAAAAGCCUAAUUGUUUGCAUGACUAAAUGGUAUUUAAAAAUAACCCCCCCCAAAAUACCUGGUACCUUUGUUCGAAAUUUUGUCUGUUGGGAGCUGUCAGCCAUCCAUGUUAAGGGUUUAUAAGAAAAUAGUUUAAAAUUUUAUGCAUUUUUAUUAUUGUCAUUUCUGUGUGUACAAUAUUUCUAAAUAAUCAGUAUAAAAUUGAUACUUUUUAAAACCUUCACCUGAAUUGCCUUUUAGUGUUCAAAUGAAAAGUAAAAUAAUGUGUCAAGAGAUUUCUGCUUCCUUAAAGACAGAAGAGCUGGUGUGUAGUUUUAUUAGCAAUCAUCUGAGAAAGGCAUGUGUUAAAUUAGUUCCAACAGUGAUACAUUUUCAAUCCUUAAUGACAGAAACU